UGUGUUGACUUUUGUUGUUGGAUAAAAGGUUAAACAGUCUUGUUUUGUAUGGGAAGGUGUUACAAACACUGUGUUCAUUCUUUUAAUUUUUCUUCUCCAAUCCCACAGAAUGAUCCUUUUUGGAAACAGAAAGCUUUAGAGUUCUUGGAGACUUUUCACAUCACCUCAGACUCAGAAGCAACACGUGUUGUUCGAGUUACACAGGAACUCACAGAAGCUUUAAAGUCCUUUUGUGAAAAGAAAGCAGCAGUAAGUGACUUCAUCUUGACCAGAGUUGUAGUGAUGUUACCAGUGGGAGGCAAGAAAUGGUUGAACAAAUUAUGUUAAUGUCCCGCCGAACUGUCACAGUUCAGACAUAGGCCAACCCUCCCCAUUCAGAUAUAUUUAAAUUAUUUUACAAUUUUGAAGUAUCAAAUUCAUUAAUUGCUUGGCACUUUUCUCUUAGUUCUUCAUCACGUUCCAUCUGGUUUCUUUCCAUUUUGCAUGUGUUUCCUGCCCUGAUUUGGGCUCCAUUUCACAUCAUGAUGUCUGGUUGUCAUCCUUACUUUUCAUUUGGUCCCUUGCUUGAUAGCUUUUCUUCUGUGAUUAAUCAAGCAGUUAUCUGUUACCCAAAUGUGUCACUUUUUCUUUCAUGAGCAUUUGGGUAAAUGUUUUACUGGUAACUCUGCUCCCAGUUGAGAUCUUUAAUCUCUGAAGAUGAAGGCAAGAAGAUAUUCUGCCUUUUUUGGAUGCCCUUACAAACCUU
rnacentral:lncRNA from 1 species